rnacentral:rRNA from 1 species
AGGACGAACGCUGGCGGCGUGCCUAACACAUGCAAGUCGAGCGAUGAAGUUCUUCGGAACGGAUUAGCGGCGGACGGGUGAGUAACACGUGGGUAACCUGCCUUGUAGAGGGGGAUAGCCUUCCGAAAGGAAGAUUAAUACCGCAUAAUAUCUUUUUUAUCGCAUGGUAGAAAGAUCAAAGGAGCAAUCCGCUACAAGAUGGACCCGCGGCGCAUUAGCUAGUUGGUGAGGUAACGGCUCACCAAGGCGACGAUGCGUAGCCGACCUGAGAGGGUGAUCGGCCACAUUGGAACUGAGACACGGUCCAGACUCCUACGGGAGGCAGCAGUGGGGAAUAUUGCGCAAUGGGGGAAACCCUGACGCAGCAACGCCGCGUGAAUGAAGAAGGCCUUAGGGUUGUAAAGUUCUGUUUACGGGGACGAUAAUGACGGUACCCGUGGAGGAAGCCACGGCUAACUACGUGCCAGCAGCUGC